UGUUUCCCCCCCUCUGCAUGCGUAUUCCCCCCUAUGCAGCAGGCCCACCAGGAAACGGUUGUUUGGUUCGCUGUUUUCCCAUUCCCCGUCGAAUCGGUUACAGGCAUUACGGCCCCUCAGCGCCGAUUACCCAUUCCGCGUCUUUCCCUUUUUUCUCUUCCGUUUUCUGCCCUCGUCCUCAACACUGUCAAAAGCUUCCCCAAAGUAAUCGACAGAGUCCUCGACGUUGUCAAAAGCUUUCCCAAAGUCGAUCCUUCCAAGAUAUUAGAAGAAGAUGGUGUUGGUUUUGGCUUUGGGGGAUUUGCAUAUACCCCAUCGGGCGGCUGAUCUCCCUCCCAAAUUCAAGUCCAUGCUAGUUCUUGGAAUGAUCCAACACGUCUUUUGCACUGGUAAUCUUUGCAUCAAGGAAGUUCAAGAUUACUUGAAGACACUUUGUCCUGACUUGCAUAUUACCAGAGGUGAAUAUGAUGAAGAUACAAGAUAUCCCGAGACCAAAACAUUAACUAUCGGACAAUUCAAGCUGGGAUUGUGCCAUGCCAUGGCCAUCAGACAGAGAUCUUGCUCUCUUUUUCUGAAGCUGCUAAAGGAUGCACGAAGGAUCUACAGUUUUAUGCAUUUGUAACUUGUGAUUCUUGCGGCUAGUGCUGACUGCUAUUUAUGGCUCCAUACUGUUUAUGUACCAUUCCAAGUGGAGAGAAAGGUAACCUGGUAUGUUCAUCUAAGUUACUUACAUUUUUUGCAAGUUGAUUAAUCAUAGACUUACUGUUGCUUCUUUGUCCUUCUGCAACAAGACCUGCAUUCUACAAAUAUGUUGCCUUCAUGUUCAUCUUGAAUGCACUAGAACUGUUUGCUUUACCUAGAGCUUCUUCCUAAAGAUCAAUAUACCGAUAUUGCUGUGGGAACAUAUCCAAAAAUGUAGAAUGUGCUUUACCUAGAGCUUCUUCCUAAAGAUCAGUUAGUCCUUGAUUUUUUUUUCAGUAUGUACUAUGUGUUGUCAAGUAGAUUUGGAGUUUGAAUAUCUACAUCUAAAUUAUUUUCAUUUCCAAGCAGAGAUCUUUUCUGAUCAAUUUUCUUGUAACAAAAUAAAUAGUAUCAUUGUGUUUGUUAUUGUAGAAUUACAAGAGUCUUGUACUAAUAGAAUUUGAUGGAGUUUGAAUGGCUCACA